rnacentral:lncRNA from 10 species
GGGCACGAGGGAAGGGGCCACCUCUGGGAUUUAGGGGGCACUGGCGUCACCAGCUGGGUCUGGAAAGUCCACCUGCCGUCAAGGACACGCAGGAGCUCAGCCCUGGAUGGCUGCCCUUCCUGGAAACCUUAGGAUACCUCUGCUGGCUCCAGCUGCCCCCUCCCUGUGAGUCAGCUCCUUCAAGCCACAGCCCGCCAGAUGGCUUCCAAGGCACCAAGGAUGCAGCUCCUGACCUGAUGCCUCUCAGCUCCAGGACUUCCCAGGACCCCUCAGCUGCCCUGGACCCUGCUGCUACUGCCGUCACCUCUGCACCUUGUCCCCAGCUGGGCUGCUGACUCAGAUAUGCCAGGCUCCUAUGCUAUCAUUUCAACUCCCAGGCUCAGCUCACUCCAGGAGCCUAGUUGGAGAAUGGAUUUCCCCAGCUGAAGGACGCUUCAGCUAUACCAGUGGAGAAACGGAGGCACAGAGUCCGUGAAUGGUCUAAGGACACAUGGUAAAGCAAUAGCAGAGCAGGGUACACCCCUGGACUCACUCGUGUGGAGUUCAGUGACUCUCUGGGUGAUCCUCCCUGGUGCCUGGGACCCAGCUCUAUCAGGUCCCAUACAUCUCAGCCACACACUGGCUCCUGGUGAGCCCCUAAGCAGCUACCCUGUGGCAAAGGCUGCAGCCUCAACAGGGGCCCACUCUUCUUCCAUCUCCUUCCUCCAUCUCUCCCUGCUGCUGAGUUCUCCUAUCAACUUGACACCCCCUCCGGGACUGAGCCCUCCCAGCCAGAGCAUCAAUGUCAUUAGCACCCAAAAUUGAGGCCCAGGCAGGGCUCGCCUCUUCCAUGAAGCCUUCCGUGACCACUGUAGAUGGCAGCGAUGCUUCCUUCCUCCAUAUUCUGCCAGGAAAGGAAGAGAAACAGCAAGGAAAAGAAUGAAACAAGAACUGUCCUCUGUGCAUGGGGCUGAGCCCCAUUCCUAUGCUGAUAUGAUCUCUCACUACAGCCUUGCCAGGUAGACAUAGCUGCUCUCGCACAGAUGAGGAAACAGCAUAAAGACGUUAGAUGUUAAGUGACCUGCUGCUCAAAGCCACGGGCCUGGGGUUGGGAGCGGACUCAGCACUUUUGUGCGAGGAUCUAGUGCCUGGUAGAAGGAAAUGUUCCGCAUAUUCUCAGACAAGUCCCUUCCUCUCUCUUUCUCAGUCUUUCCACCUGUAACAUGAGCUCAAUCAGAGGUAAACUGUGCCCUAUAGAUGGUCUAGGGCGAGGGGAAGAUGGACCCCCUGAAAUUGUAUGCGUGUGACAUUGAGGCACAAAGGCCCAAGCCCUUCAUGAUUUGCAAAGAGAUCUCUGACAUUGUCUGUUUUGGAUUGGAGAGGACCAGCUGAGGGAUGUGUUUUGAGAAGCAUGAAUGACCAAAUGAAUUCAAUAAAUACGUAGUGAAUAUCUAAUCUGAC